rnacentral:lncRNA from 1 species
GGCUGUCCUUCCCUACUCCAAGCCCCUCCCCUCACUCCCCACCCAGGAUCUGGGCACUGGAGGCGCCAGACAUCUUAUGCCCUGUCCAAGGCUAGCAGGUCCUUGUCCCUGAAGGGCCAUGGAGCUAAGUGACCAGCGUGCCUCUCUGGGUCCCGUGUGUGUGGUAGGAAUCUUCACACUGCCUUGCUGUGACCGUGGGCCAUCGCAUCACCUCCCUGUGCCUUGGUUUCCUGGCCUCUAAAGACUGACCUUAAGGGGUUGUUUGUAAGGAUGAAGGCACAAAUGCAAGCCAAGUCCUUAGAAUUCUCAGCACAUAGCAAGUGCUCAAUGAACCGCCUGGCUGCUGUUCGCUGGGGACACAGUCUUUUGCUCUCUGGAUGUCUGACCGUGCCCUGUCCCUGCCUCACAGGGCCAUCCAUCAGUGCUGGUGAGCUGAGCUCAGCUGACAAGCCAGCCUGGCACGGAGCGCUGCCCCUCCUGCUGGUCCCAGAUCCGUUCUGUCCGGAGGAGAAUUUCUUAUCCCCAGGAGAUGCCUGGCCUCGUUAGGAGCCUCCUCACCCGCCCGCCCGCACCAACCCUCUGACUCCCUCCACCUCACCGCCUGGGAACAACAGGAAGAGAGCAGGACAGCAGCAGAAAGGAGUGCUGCUUAUGUGGCUCUUCUCAGAAUCAGGAGGCUCCCAGGCCAGGAAUGUGAAACCAUUAUGCAGAUGAAGAAGAUGAAGCCCGAGAGGUUAUGAAACAGACCCAAGUGGGCUCGCUCUUCAGUCUCGGCAUAAGGAAUCCGGAACCUGGGCCCGUGUCCGGAACUGCUGUGCCCAGGCAGCUUGCCUGGAAAUCAGAUAUGUUGUCAUUACCAUGGGGAUUACACGAAACAUCCUGAAGUUAGAGCAAUCCAUUUUAAACUGAUGUUUUGUUGAUGGCUGACGUAGCGGACUCAAAACAACGAGCACUUCUGCUUGAUACACAGAUUCUCCGAGGUUCCUGUGGAGCCACAGCACCUCCUGUCUUGGCACUUCAUAGUUGUCUCAUCGAGUCCAAGGCUGCCUCCCAAGGGUCUGGCUGGUAGACCAUGAAGUUGAUUCCUGCCUUAAGCCUGGCUCUGCAAGAAGUUGUCCUAUAUUCUCACCAGUCACAUUUUUGGUACUAGAACGGUGCUUUUUAUAGUGCACUCGUAACUGGACGCUGAAAUCACAGCCUGGCCAUUUGGAUGUUCAACCGAUGCUUUAUGCUGCUGAGUCCUUGGAACUCACUCCCCGUGCCGGAACUCACUGGAGCUCAGGUGUGUGGCACUACCUUGUUUCUCUGCAGCUGGUAUUGCAAACAUUUUUCAUGCAUUUAUUUCCCAUUGUUUACUUUUGAGUUUUUGUUUUGUGAGACAGGGUCUCAGUCUGUCACG